CCGAGAUUCAACAUGGAACGAGUGGCGGACGGGUGAGUAACACGUGGGUAACCUGCCCUUAAGUGGGGGAUAACAUUUGGAAACAGAUGCUAAUACCGCAUAGAUCCAAGAACCGCAGGGUUCUUGGCUGAAAGAUGGCGUAAGCUAUCGCUUUUGGAUGGACCCGCGGCGUAUUAGCUAGUUGGUGAGGUAAUGGCUCACCAAGGCGAUGAUACGUAGCCGAACUGAGAGGUUGAUCGGCCACAUUGGGACUGAGACACGGCCCAAACUCCUACGGGAGGCAGCAGUAGGGAAUCUUCCACAAUGGACGCAAGUCUGAUGGAGCAACGCCGCGUGAGUGAAGAAGGCUUUCGGGUCGUAAAACUCUGUUGUUGGAGAAGAAUGGUCGGCAGAGUAACUGUUGUCGGCGUGACGGUAUCCAACCAGAAAGCCACGGCUAACUACGUGCCAGCAGCCGCGGUAAUACGUAGGUGGCAAGCGUUAUCCGGAUUUAUUGGGCGUAAAGCGAGCGCAGGCGGUUUUUUAAGUCUGAUGUGAAAGCCCUCGGCUUAACCGAGGAAGCGCAUCGGAAACUGGGAAACUUGAGUGCAGAAGAGGACAGUGGAACUCCAUGUGUAGCGGUGAAAUGCGUAGAUAUAUGGAAGAACACCAGUGGCGAAGGCGGCUGUCUGGUCUGUAACUGACGCUGAGGCUCGAAAGCAUGGGUAGCGAACAGGAUUAGAUACCCUGGUAGUCCAUGCCGUAAACGAUGAAUGCUAGGUGUUGGAGGGUUUCCGCCCUUCAGUGCCGCAGCUAACGCAUUAAGCAUUCCGCCUGGGGAGUACGACCGCAAGGUUGAAACUCAAAGGAAUUGACGGG
rnacentral:rRNA from 1 species